CAGCCGCCGCGGGAAUACGUAGGUGGCAAGCGUUGUCCGGAAUUAUUGGGCGUAAAGGGCUCGCAGGCGGUUUCUUAAGUCCGAUGUGAAAGCCCCCGGCUCAACCGGGGAGGGUCAUUGGAAACUGGGAAACUUGAGUGCAGAAGAGGAGAGUGGAAUUCCACGUGUAGCGGUGAAAUGCGUAGAGAUGUGGAGGAACACCAGUGGCGAAGGCGACUCUCUGGUCUGUAACUGACGCUGAGGAGCGAAAGCGUGGGGAGCGAACAGGAUUAGAGACCCCAGUAGUCCCUGUCUCUUAUAC
rnacentral:rRNA from 1 species